rnacentral:rRNA from 1 species
CCCACCAAGGCGACGAUCGGUAGCCGGACUGAGAGGUUGAACGGCCACAUUGGGACUGAGACACGGCCCAGACUCCUACGGGAGGCAGCAGUGGGGAAUAUUGCACAAUGGGGGAAACCCUGAUGCAGCGACGCCGCGUGGAGGAAGAAGGUCUUCGGAUUGUAAACUCCUGUUGUUGAGGAAGAUAAUGACGGUACUCAACAAGGAAGUGACGGCUAACUACGUGCCAGCAGCCGCGGUAAAACGUAGGUCACAAGCGUUGUCCGGAAUUACUGGGUGUAAAGGGAGCGCAGGCGGGAGAACAAGUUGGAAGUGAAAUCCAUGGGCUCAACCCAUGAACUGCUUUCAAAACUGUUCUUCUUGAGUAGUGCAGAGGUAGGCGGAAUUCCCGGUGUAGCGGUGGAAUGCGUAGAUAUCGGGAGGAACACCAGUGGCGAAGGCGGCCUACUGGGCACCAACUGACGCUGAGGCUCGAAAGUGUGGGUAGCAAACAGGAUUAGAUACCCUGGUAGUCCACACCGUAAACGAUGAUUACUAGGUGUUGGAGGAUUGACCCCUUCAGUGCCGCAGUUAACACAAUAAGUAAUCCACCUGGGGAGUACGACCGCAAGGUUGAAACUCAAAGGAAUUGACGGGGGCCCGCACAAGCAGUGGAGUAUGUGGUUUAAUUCGACGCAACGCGAAGAACCUUACCAAGUCUUGACAUCCCUUGACGAUGCUGGAAACAGCAUUUCUCUUCGGAGCAAGGAGACAGGUGGUGCAUGGUUGUCGUCAGCUCGUGUCGUGAGAUGUUGGGUUAAGUCCCGCAACGAGCGCAACCCUUAUGGUCAGUUACUACGCAAGAGGACUCUGGCCAGACUGCCGUUGACAAAACGGAGGAAGGUGGGGAUGACGUCAAAUCAUCAUGCCCUUUAUGACUUGGGCUACACACGUACUACAAUGGCGUUAAACAGAGAGAAGCAAGACCGCGAGGUGGAGCAAAACUCAGAAACAACGUCCCAGUUCGGACUGCAGGCUGCAACUCGCCUGCACGAAGUCGGAAUUGCUAGUAAUCGUGGAUCAGCAUGCCACGGUGAAUACGUUCCCGGGCCUUGUACACACCGCCCGUCACACCAUGAGAGCCGGGGGGACCCGAAGUCGGUAGUCUAACCGCAAGGAGGACGCCGCCGAAGGUAAAACUGGUGAUUGGGGUGAAGUCGUAACAAGGU